CGCGCCAGCGCCGGCCCCGGGCGCUCCCCGCGCGUGCCCCCGGCGCUGCCCCGAACCUCCGCCCGCACCUCCGGCCCCGGCCCGGACCUCGCUACUCCCCUCCCCCGCCCCGGAGCCCGCUGCUGGGAUCCGUGCGUACCUGCCCCUUAAGGGUGCGGGUGGGACGGUUGCCAAAGUUGCGAGGAAAAAAAAAGAGAGAGAGAGAGAGAAAGAGAAGCAGUCCUGGGCGUUUGAGCAUGCCCGGCGCCUGUAGCCACGCAAGGGUUUGCAGAACGUGUGGGCUUGUGUGAAGGACCGUGGGAAAUAGAGCGAAGUGAGCAAGGAACCGGGGCCCUGCGAAACCCGAAGGGGUAAGCACCCGAGAGCGAACUGGAAGGGAGCCUUGGAGCUGCCAAAGUCCGUUUCCUUCCUGUCGAGUCUUUCUUUUCCUCUAGCUUCCCCUUUGGUCUGUGCUCACCUUCCUUUUUCAGAAGGGAACGCUUUAGGAAGGAUUUCUUCCCAACCCGACAGAACGUUUGACAGAGAAUCAAAGAAUUACUCUAAAAUGACAAGGCCAGUAAAACACACCGAGUCUGCGCCCCCGUGGUAAUGGAUCGCCUGUAGGGCACGUGCCAAGGCCGAGGUGGCUUUUCACCCAGCACGAGGGGAGCAGCGUAGGCCUAAUGUCUCAGCUCUCCCUGCCAGUUGCACUGCCGGUUUUAGAAGAAAUGUUGACUAAUUAGAUGAUGAAGCCGCUAGCAAAGAAAAUGCCUUCACUGACGAGAUAAAAAAAAAAAAAUAGGAAAUUGCUCUUUGGCUCCCGUUUGAAAAUCUAUUUUCUACAAAUCGUUUGGAGAACUGGUGUUGAGUUUGAAGGGGCCAGGAAGUCAUCCAUAUUGCAGGAAGCCCGGAAAGAAGCCUGUCCAGUGAGAAGGUAAAGUCUCUAUCAAAGAGAAAGGGAAGCUUGCCAAGCACAUAAGAAAGGACUUGGAAGUAGAUCCCUCAGUUCCAGGUUGUUUUCCUGUCAUCUGUGAAGCCUGCAGGGACACUCCAUAAACCAUUAAAUAAAUGAUCAGUGCCUUAUUCAGUCUUCAUCAGAGAAGCUACCUACUGCAGCAGACAAAAAUAGAUCCAAAGACCCCUAACCAGACAUUAUGCAGAAAAAAAGGAGUCCUUGGAGAACACGGCUCUAAAUGGUAUAUCUCCAUCAAAUCUCUCUCCUCUGCAGUCAGAGAACACUGUGGAAGAGGAGACAGAAAGAGUGUAAGAUCCAGAGUGAAUGGAGGAAACCAAGAGAACAACAUCCUCUGAUCAACUGAACAAAGCCACAUGAACUCAAAGAGAUAGAGGCAGGAGGCACAUGGCCAACAUGGGUCUGCACCAGGUCCUCAGCAUCUAUAUUAUAGCUUUUAGCUUAGUAUCUUUAGGAACUUGUGAGUAUGUAAAUGAGUGAGUUGCUGAUUCUUGUGCCUUCUCUUGGGCCUCUUUUCCUUCUGUUGGUUUGCUUUGUCCAGCCUUGAUGUGAUGGUUUUUUUUUGUUUUAUCUUAUUAUAUUUUAUUUUGUCCUCUUUGGCUGUUAUCGCUUAAAAAAGUAUUUUGUAAUGAAAGAAAGAAAGAGAGUGGGUCUAGAGGGAGGUGGAGAACAACUGGGAGAAGUAGAGGGAGAGGAAACUGUAAUCAGGAUGUAUUGUGUGAGAAAAUAAUCUAUUUUCAAUAAAAUGAGAAAAGUCAAA